rnacentral:rRNA from 1 species
UGAGGAAUAUUGGUCAAUGGGCGGAAGCCUGAACCAGCCAUCCCGCGUGCAGGAAGACGGCCCUAUGGGUUGUAAACUGCUUUUCCAGGGGGAGAAACUUUCCGAUGAAUCAGGAUUUGACGGUACCCUGGGAAUAAGCAUCGGCUAACUCCGUGCCAUCAGCCGCGGUAAUACGGAGGAUGCGAGCGUUAUCCGGAUUUAUUGGGUUUAAAGGGUGCGUAGGCGGAUCGAUAAGUCAGUGGUGAAAACCUGCAGCUUAACUGUAGACUUGCCGUUGAUACUGUUGGUCUUGAGUAUGGUCAAGGUAGGCGGAAUGUGUAAUGUAGCGGUGAAAUGCUUAGAUAUUACACAGAACACCGAUUGCGAAGGCAGCUUACUGGACCAUCACUGACGCUGACGCACGAAAGCGUGG